rnacentral:rRNA from 1 species
GAUGAACGCUGGCGGCGUGCCUAAUACAUGCAAGUCGAGCGAACAGAUGAGGAGCUUGCUCCUCUGACGUUAGCGGCGGACGGGUGAGUAACACGUGGAUAACCUACCUAUAAGACUGGGAUAACUUCGGGAAACCGGAGCUAAUACCGGAUAAUAUAUUGAACCGCAUGGUUCAAUAGUGAAAGACGGUUUUGCUGUCACUUAUAGAUGGAUCCGCGCCGCAUUAGCUAGUUGGUAAGGUAACGGCUUACCAAGGCAACGAUGCGUAGCCGACCUGAGAGAGUGAUCGGCCACACUGGAACUGAGACACGGUCCAGACGCCUACGGGAGGCAGCAGUAGGGAAUCUUACGCAGUGGGGGAAAGCAUGACGGAGCAACGCCGCGUGAGUGAUGAAGGUCUUCGGAUCGUAAAACUCUGUUAUUAGGGAAGAACAAAUGUGUAAGUAACUAUGCACGUCUUGACGGUAACUAAUCAGAAAGCCACGGCUAACUACGUG